UGGGGAAUAUUGGACAAUGGGCGCAAGCCUGAUCCAGCCAUGCCGCGUGGAUGAUGAAGGCCCUAGGGUUGUAAAGUCCUUUCGGCGGGGAAGAUAAUGACGGUACCCGCAGAAGAAGCCCCGGCUAACUUCGUGCCAGCAGCCGCGGUAAUACGAAGGGGGCUAGCGUUGCUCGGAAUUACUGGGCGUAAAGCGCACGUAGGCGGACUCUUAAGUCGGUGGUGAAAUCCUGGAGCUCAACUCCAGAACUGCCUUCGAUACUGAGAGUCUUGAGUUCGGGAGAGGUGAGUGGAACUGCGAGUGUAGAGGUGAAAUUCGUAGAUAUUCGCAAGAACACCAGUGGCGAAGGCGGCUCACUGGCCCGAUACUGACGCUGAGGUGCGAAAGCGUGGGGAGCAAA
rnacentral:rRNA from 1 species